AAGAAAGUGGGACGUGAGAAGCAGUAGAAUGUUGACUCCAACCCCUGGGAGCUACAGGGUCACCUAAUAAACACGGAAGCUGUGACUCCUCUCCAACACAUCUGGAUUUUCCUAAUGAUUCCUAAGAAGACUGGAGGCCCGAACAGACAUCUCAUGGCUAGAUUCCAUGGAGUCUGAACUUUCCAGCGGAAAUCUCUACCACUCCUGUUCAAGUCACACAUCCAGAUGACGGUUGGCUCAGCUGAAGCAGGUGUUCAGGCCUGAUUCCAACUUUCGGUUCACCACAAUCUUCAAUUUACCAGAACCUCCUUUUCACCAGCUGAGGUGUGGGGAAAACAGGCCUGCAACAGAAAAUGAGCAGAGAAUGCAGCAGUGCCAAGAGUCAGCACGAUGAAAAGGGACAAAGAGGAUCUUAAUCAAUUCUUAGUAGCUAAGCCAUUUAGCUGGGCCAUGUAAGCUAAAAGGAAUAACGUUAUCAUGGCCUCAGCCUGUCACCAUGCAGUUUAUCAGCAGUCACUCCAUCUCGAUUCUGGGUGACGUGAGAUCAAUGGCCUAAAACUGCUCUCAGAUCUACAGAGAAAUUUAUAACACCAGGCUCUGCCAUGCCCUGGCUGGGCCGGGUCCCAGGCCUCUGAGGGUGAGGCUGCCAUGCAGACUUCAUUUCCAUUUCAAAAGUGGAUUGUGACCCACUUGGAGCAGGCGAGUUCAAGCCGUCUGAUGCAAAGAAUGGCCUGAGUCAGAAGUCUUCCGCACUUACAGAACAAUGACUUUGAGGGAAGGAAAAAAAAAAGACUGGUCAACGAUUAAAAUUCUUUCUGCCUUGAAAAGGCUCUAAUU
rnacentral:lncRNA from 1 species